rnacentral:rRNA from 1 species
AGUGAACGCUGGCGGUAGGCCUAACACAUGCAAGUCGAACGGCAGCACAGUAAGAGCUUGCUCUUACGGGUGGCGAGUGGCGGACGGGUGAGGAAUACAUCGGAAUCUACUUUUUCGUGGGGGAUAACGUAGGGAAACUUACGCUAAUACCGCAUACGACCUACGGGUGAAAGCAGGGGAUCUUCGGACCUUGCGCGAUUGAAUGAGCCGAUGUCGAAUUAGCUAGUUGGCGGGGUAAGGGCCCACCAAGGCGACGAUCCGUAGCUGGUCUGAGAGGAUGAUCAGCCACACUGGAACUGAGAUACGGUCCAGACUCCUACGGGAGGCAGCAGUGGGGAAUAUUGGACAAUGGGCGCAAGCCUGAUCCAGCCAUACCGCGUGGGUGAAGAAGGCCUUCGGGUUGUAAAGCCCUUUUGUUGGGAAAGAAAAGCAGCAGGUUAAUACCCCGCUGUUCUGACGGUACCCAAAGAAUAAGCACCGGCUAACUUCGUG